GCACUUUGGGAUAAGCCUGGGAAACUGGGUCUAAUGCCGAAUAUGACCAUGGCAUGCAUGUGCUGUGGUGGAAAGCUUUUGCGGUGUGGGAUGGGCCCGCGGCCUAUCAGCUUGUUGGUGGGGUGACGGCCUACCAAGGCGACGACGGGUAGCCGGCCUGAGAGGGUGACCGGCCACACUGGGACUGAGAUACGGCCCAGACUCCUACGGGAGGCAGCAGUGGGGAAUAUUGCACAAUGGGCGCAAGCCUGAUGCAGCGACGCCGCGUGGGGGAUGACGGCCUUCGGGUUGUAAACCUCUUUCAGUAGGGACGAAGCGCAAGUGACGGUACCUAUAGAAGAAGGACCGGCCAACUACGUGCCAGCAGCCGCGGUAAUACGUAGGGUCCGAGCGUUGUCCGGAAUUACUGGGCGUAGAGAGCUCGUAGGUGGUUUGUCACGUUGUUCGUGAAAACCCACAACUCAAUUGUGGGCGUGCGGGCGGUACGGGCAGACUUGAGUACUGCAGGGGAGACUGGAAUUCCUGGUGUAGCGGUGGAAUGCGCAGAUAUCAGGAGGAACACCGGUGGCGAAGGCGGGUCUCUGGGCAGUAACUGACGCUGAGGAGCGAAAGCGUGGGGAGCGAACAGGAUUAGAUACCCUGGUAGUCCACGCCGUAAACGGUGGGUACUAGGUGUGGGUUUCCUU
rnacentral:rRNA from 1 species